GAGUCAAAUACAGUCAAUCUGUGAUAUUACAUGCUCCUAGUGGUCCUCCGAACAAUGUGAGAGGGUUUAUAUUAAAUACUACUAGUAUCAAGGUGAACUGGACUAAUUCAUCAGUCACUAAAGGAUAUGUGAUUGUAUAUACUACUGGAGGUGUAACCCAUAAUGUUGUAUUUACCAAUAUAAAUGAAACUGUAUUAACAAAUCUCUCACCAUUGAGUACCUAUACCAUCAGUGUGUAUUCAUAUUUAGAUCUUCCUUCUGUUACUAGUACAGUAACAGAGUUAAGAUUGGAUGUUCCUAGUCCAGUAACUAAUCUCUCAGUA